GGAAAACCCAGCUGCCCCCGAUGUUCCGGUUCGGACCCGGGUUCCGUCGCGGGUCGGGUCGGGUCGGGUCGGGUCGGGUCGGGUCGGGGGAGGACGAAUUGGUGGGUGAGCUCGCGUCGGGGGGGAGGGGGCUUUGAUCUUGCCGGAGCUUGGUCAGUAGAUUUGGCGUUCCCUCGAUCGCUGCUAAUCCUACGCUCCCCUGUCUGUCUGUCUGUCUCUCUCUUCUCUUCGCUUUCUCUCUCUUCGUUCUUGGUCGCUCUCCUAUGCUCGCACACUCACUUCUUGUUCUUUUU
rnacentral:lncRNA from 1 species